rnacentral:sRNA from 1 species
AAAUAGCCCCGAUAGCAGUGAAAAUCCUCCCGAUUUUUCUUCGGGAGAUUGUAACGGAUAGCGGGACAAACC